UACCGAUGGGGCAAGCGUUAUUCGGAAUUAUUGGGCGUAAAGGGCGCGUAGGCGGCUUUUCAAGUGACGGGUGAAAGCCCUCGGCUUAACCGAGGAACUGCCUGUCAGACUGGAAGGCUUGAGACCGGGAGAGGUGAGUGGAAUUCCCAGUGUAGCGGUGAAAUGCGUAGAUAUUGGGAGGAACACCAGUGGCGAAGGCGGCUCACUGGACCGGAACUGACGCUGAGGCGCGAAAGCGUGGGGAGCAAACAGG
rnacentral:rRNA from 1 species